rnacentral:rRNA from 1 species
AGUGAACGCUGGCGGUAGGCCUAACACAUGCAAGUCGAACGGCAGCACAGGAGAGCUUGCUCUCUGGGUGGCGAGUGGCGGACGGGUGAGGAAUACAUCGGAAUCUACUCUGUCGUGGGGGAUAACGUAGGGAAACUUACGCUAAUACCGCAUACGACCUACGGGUGAAAGCAGGGGACCUUCGGGCCUUGCGCGAUUGAAUGAGCCGAUGUCGGAUUAGCUAGUUGGCGGGGUAAAGGCCCACCAAGGCGACGAUCCGUAGCUGGUCUGAGAGGAUGAACAGCCACACUGGAACUGAGACACGGUCCAGACUCCUACGGGAGGCAGCAGUGGGGAAUAUGGGACAAUGGGCGCAAGCCUGAUCCAGCCAUACCGCGUGGGUGAAGAAGGCCUUCGGGUUGUAAAGCCCUUUUGUUGGGAAAGAAAUCCAGCUGGCUAAUACCCGGUUGGGAUGACGGUACCCAAAGAAUAAGCACCGGCUAACUUCGUGCCAGCCGCCGCGGUAA